CACGUAGGGUGCGAGCGUUGUCCGGAAUUAUUGGGCGUAAAGAGCUCGUAGGCGGUGUGUCGCGUCGGCCGUGAAAACCUGCAGCUCAACUGUGGGCUUGCGGUCGAUACGGGCAUCACUGGAGUUCGGCAGGGGAGACUGGAAUUCCUGGUGUAGCGGUGAAAUGCGCAGAUAUCAGGAGGAACACCGGUGGCGAAGGCGGGUCUCUGGGCCGUAACUGACGCUGAGGAGCGAAAGCGUGGGGAGCGAACAGG
rnacentral:rRNA from 1 species